CCUACGGGGGGCAGCAGUGGGGAAUAUUGGACAAUGGGGGGAACCCUGAUCCAGCCAUGCCGCGUGUGUGAAGAAGGCCCUCGGGUUGUAAAGCACUUUCAGUGAGGAAGAACGCCUGGUGGUUAAUACCCAUCAGGAAAGACAUCACUCACAGAAGAAGCACCGGCUAACUCCGUGCCAGCAGCCGCGGUAAUACGGAGGGUGCGAGCGUUAAUCGGAAUUACUGGGCGUAAAGCGCGCGUAGGUGGCUUGAUAAGCCGGUUGUGAAAGCCCCGGGCUCAACCUGGGAACGGCAUCCGGAACUGUCAAGCUAGAGUGCAGGAGAGGAAGGUAGAAGUCCCGGUGUAGCGGUGAAAUGCGUAGAGAUCGGGAGGAAUACCAGUGGCGAAGGCGGCCUUCUGGACUGACACUGACACUGAGGUGCGAAAGCGUGGGUAGCAAACAGGAUUAGAUACCCUAGUAGUC
rnacentral:rRNA from 1 species